UGAAAUUGUUGUUAAGGAACA
rnacentral:piRNA from 1 species